AUUCCAGCUCCAAUAGCGUAUAUUAAAGUUGUUGCAGUUAAAAAGCUCGUAGUUGGAUUUCUGGGAGGGUGCCAAUGUCCGCCGAGUGCGUGCGCAGCGGCGCCCUUCCAUCCUUCUGUUAACGCCUCUUGGCAUUCAUUUGCUGGUGGCGGGCUCAGAUAUUUUACCUUGAGAAAAUUAGAGUGUUUCAGGCAGGCUAGGCCGGAAUACAUUAGCAUGGAAUAAUGGAAUAGGACUACGGUCUCUUUGUUGGUUUGAGGGACUGCAGUAAUGAUUAAUAGGGAUAGUUGGGGGCAUUAGUAUUUAAUUGUCAGAGGUGGAAUUCUCGGAUUUGUUAAAGACUAACUCAUGCGAGAGCAUUUGCCAAGGAUGUUUUCAUUG
rnacentral:rRNA from 1 species